GUGAAGUUGUGUGAUUUGUUUUAUUUAGUUUUUAUUUAUUUAUUUUAUUUAUUUGUUUUAUUUAUUUAUUUUGUUUAGUAUUUCUUCGGGUUUAAAUAUGUAAUAACGGUGGUUUAUUAACUGUUUAAUAUCUGUGAAAGUGCACAAAUGUGGAAAAAUGAAACAAAGCCGCUGGACGUAACUUCUCGGGCUCCUCCAAAAAGUCCACUGAAAAUUUUUCAGUAAAUGACCACCACUUUACUGAGAUUGUAUUUCAUACCAUAUCAUCUUAUCUCAUUUCAUUUAAUUUCAUCCCAUUUGAUUAAUGUCUCAAAUUAAUCAUUUUCAUUUCAUUUCAUUUCACCCCGUAUUGUCAUUUUUUAUAAAAAUAAAAAUAUAAAUAAAAAUUAGACAUGACUUGAAUGUCUUAGUUCCCAGGUAAUAAAAUCCCUUUAAAAAAAUAUUAUUUAAUGAGAUCUUACCACGAUUUUCGCUCUAAAUUCUCGAUAUUAGUGUUAGGUUUCGUAAACAAUGCGUUUUCACUGUCCAAAAAAACUAUACUUUUUUUAAAGGGAUUUUAUGUCUUGGUAACUAAGACCUUUAAGGUCAAAUCUUAAUUUAAAUAAAAAAAAUAUUAAAUGAAAAAUGAUAUUAUGAAACGUAAUGAAGUUGACACAUUUCGACAAAUUUACGUUGUUUUUGUAGAAUAAUUUUGUAAUCUGGUAUCCCUUGGAAUUCUUAUCGGCUCCUUUAUUAUUGUUACAAAAUUUCGACAAGCAAUGUAAGUAUGUGUGUUAAUGUGUUUAGUCGGAGACGUUAUGUGAGCGUGGAGUUGGCUUCUGUGUGUAGUUUCACAAGGACCUUAGCCAGGAGGGUGGGACUAGCUAACAGCUGCUCGAGCGCCUCCAAAGGAGACCUAACAACUCAAGGGCAGCUGCUUCGUGGAUGAAUCUACUACCGGAUCGGACAGUUCUAUUGUACGGCUGCAAGAUAGACCGACGAGCAUAUGGUCCACCUAACCGUGAGUGAUCACUCAUGAACAUCAGCAGUGCCAGGGUACAGCCAUGCUUUGCUUACCACAGAGUAUUCUCCAUUAACUUAUUUUGAAAAAGGACAUGCUGUAGGGCUAUGAAACACCACGAAAGGAAGUUCAUUCCAGAGCCGGAUGGCAUAUAACUAAUAAAUAUCUCUGGAAACGUA